AGUGAACGCUGGCGGUAGGCCUAACACAUGCAAGUCGAACGGCAGCACAGUAAGAGCUUGCUCUUACGGGUGGCGAGUGGCGGACGGGUGAGGAAUACAUCGGAAUCUACUUUUUCGUGGGGGAUAACGUAGGGAAACUGACGCUAAUACCGCAUACGACCUACGGGUGAAAGCAGGGGAUCUUCGGACCUUGCGCGAUUGUAUGAGCCGAUGUCGGAUUAGCGAGUUGGUGGGGGAAAGGCCCACCAAGGCGACGAUCCGUAGCUGGUCUGAGAGGAUGAUCAGCCACACUGGAACUGAGACACGGUCCAGACUCCUACGGGAGGCAGCAGUGGGGAAUAUUGGACAAUGGGCGCAAGCCUGAUCCAGCCAUACCGCGUGGGUGAAGAAGGCCUUCGGGUUGUAAAGCCCUUUUGUUGGGAAAGAAAAGCAGCAGGUUAAUACCCCGCUGUUCUGACGGUACCCAAAGAAUAAGCACCGGCUAACUUCGUG
rnacentral:rRNA from 1 species